AACGUACGCUGGCGGCACGCCUAACACAUGCAAGUCGAACGAAGUAGCAAUACUUAGUGGCAGACGGGUGAGUAACAUGUAGGUAUCUGCCCUUUGGCCUGGAAUAACACUAGGAAACUUGUGCUAAUACCGGAUAAGUCUUUACGGAGAAAGCUUUAUGCACCAUUGGAUGAGCCUGCACUUGAUUAGUUUGUUGGUGGGGUAAUGGCCUACCAAGACUGUGAUCAAUAGCUGAUUUGAGAGGAUGAUCAGCCACAUUGGGACUGAGACACGGCCCAAACUCCUACGGGAGGCAGCAGUGGGGAAUCUUGCACAAUGGAGGAAACUCUGAUGCAGCGAUGCCGCGUGAGUGAAGAAGGCCCUUGGGUUGUAAAGCUCUUUCGUCGGGGAAGAAAAUGACUGUACCCGAAUAAGAAGGUCCGGCUAACUUCGUGCCAGCAGCCGCGGUAAUACGAAGGGACCUAGCGUAGUUCGGAAUUACUGGGCUUAAAGAGUUCGUAGGUGGUUGAAAAAGUUAGUGGUGAAAUCCCAGAGCUUAACUCUGGAACUGCCAUUAAAACUUUUCAGCUAGAGUAUGAUAGAGGAAAGCAGAAUUUCUAGUGUAGAGGUGAAAUUCGUAGAUAUUAGAAAGAAUACCAAUUGCGAAGGCAGCUUUCUGGAUCAUUACUGACACUGAGGAACGAAAGCAUGGGUAGCGAAGAGGAUUAGAUACCCUCGUAGUCCAUGCCGUAAACGAUGUGUGUUAGACGUUGGAAAUUUAUUUUCAGUGUCGCAGGGAAACCGAUAAACACACCGCCUGGGGAGUACGACCGCAAGGUUAAAACUCAAAUGAAUUGACGGGGACCCGCACAAGUAGUGGAGCAUGUGGUUUAAUUCGAAGAUACGCGCAGAACCUUACCAACACUUGACAUGUUCGUCGCGACUCUAAGAGAUUAGAGUUUUCGGUUCGGCCGGACGAAACACAGGUGCUGCAUGGCUGUCGUCAGCUCGUGUCGUGAGAUGUUGGGUUAAGUCCCGCAACGAGCGCAACCCUCACUUUUAGUUGCCAUCAUUAAGUUGGGCACUCUGAAAGAACUGCCAGUGAUAAGCUGGAGGAAGGUGGGGAUGACGUCAAGUCCUCAUGGCCCUUACGUGUUGGGCUACACACGUGCUACAAUGGUAUCUACAACAGGAAGCAAGACUGCGAAGUUAAGCAAAUCCCUAAAAGAUACCUCAGUUCGGAUUGCACUCUGCAACUCGAGUGCAUGAAGCUGGAAUUACUAGUAAUCGUGGAUCAGCGUGCCACGGUGAAAUGCGUUCCCGGGUCU
rnacentral:rRNA from 1 species